CCGAGGCUGAAGUCUUCAGUCUGAAGUCCCUUAUCCGAUCUCGAAGUAUGAUCUUUCUGUCGUGUGAGAGGGAUACAAUUGCCAUGUCUGUAUUGAAAUUUGCUCCCAGGAAUAUCAGUUCUCUUGAAGGAUGCAAGUGACUCUUCUCGUAAUUGAUGAGCCAACCGAAAUGAGAUAGAGUGUCGAGGACUAGUUGUCUGUGUUGGAAUAUUGAUGCUAGGUCCGGGG